GUCUUACACUUGAUCUCUGAACUUCAGGUAAGUUCGUAUGUGGAAAUUAUCAAUCACUGAUGCA